GAAAGAUAAUAUUGAAGCUGCUAACUUUAAUAGGGGAGGAAAUUUUUACUUCCGUCUUUCU
rnacentral:tRNA from 1 species